CCUGCUUCCAGGAAAAGCCUCUAAGCAUCAGGUAACAUCAAAUCGUACCCCAAACCGACACAGGUGGUCAGGUAGAGAAUACCAAGGCGCUUGAGAGAACUCGGGUGAAGGAACUAGGCAAAAUGGUGCCGUAACUUCGGGAGAAGGCACGCUGAUAUGUAGGUGAAGUCCCUCGCGGAUGGAGCUGAAAUCAGUCGAAGAUACCAGCUGGCUGCAACUGUUUAUUAAAAACACAGCACUGUGCAAACACGA
rnacentral:rRNA from 1 species